GUUGUUUAGAAGGAGCUCCCCUCAGUCCAAUACAGGGGGCAGAGAAUGGGAUAGAGCUGCCAUCUCAUGCAUUGGGUUAUCCUUAACGUUUUUCUUGCAAAAUGGAAGAGAAAGAUAAUUGUGAAUGUUGAGUUUAGCCCGAUGCAUGGCAUGGGAGCAACUCAUUCCACUUGCUUUGCUCACCCAUUGGACUGAAGGGAGCUCCUGCUUUCAUCAUC
rnacentral:pre_miRNA from 1 species